GAUUAAUUUUUGAGAGAGCUGUCUCUCUUGACAGAGAUUUUGGAAGGUAAGAGAGACGAUGACGUAUCACGUUUUUAGACGAGACUAUGGCGAUGGAGAGUGAAUUUUGCCUUUUUGGAAUUCCCACGACUCUCUGUAUCUUUCUUUAGGCGAGACUAUGGCGAUAAAGAUUGAAUUUUGCUUCGACAAUUGAGGGUGAAAUUAACGGCAAAUUCAAAAUUUCGGUUUCUGACAAGUCGUUCCGCUGGAUUCGUCAGCUUCUCACCAUCGGCGAAGCGAGGUUCACCUAAUCGGAGAUUUGCGACUCCCAGUUGGAGAGUAAUCGUUGAGGAGAGGCAACGAGUGACACGAGCAUAUCACUUCUCUCGCCAUUCUUCGUACCCAUCGCAAGCUAGGUCUCGUCACUAAGCUCAUGAGUGCCGCUCAGGCUGCUAUGGAACAGCUUAAAGGUAUGAUAAACGACAUGGAUCGUGUCCAACUGGAAUGAGGACUCUUGUGUGUUACACCUAUCGUCAAUGCCCAACUGAUAUGUUGUGUCUUAUAAUCAUAAAUUUACUUUGAUCCAAACACUUUUGAGAAGCUGUCUUCAAGUGGUCAAAAGGUAGCAACUCUUUUUUCUUGUGUAAUUGUAAUCAUCUGUGUUAUGAAGUAUUGCCAUUUUUG